rnacentral:rRNA from 1 species
CCUACGGGAGGCAGCAGUGGGGAAUUUUGGACAAUGGGCGAAAGCCUGAUCCAGCAAUGCCGCGUGAGUGAAGAAGGCCUUCGGGUUGUAAAGCUCUUUUGUCAGGGAAGAAACGGUGAGAGCUAAUAUCUCUUGCUAAUGACGGUACCUGAAGAAUAAGCACCGGCUAACUACGUGCCAGCAGCCGCGGUAAUACGUAGGGUGCAAGCGUUAAUCGGAAUUACUGGGCGUAAAGCGUGCGCAGGCGGUUUUGUAAGUCUGAUGUGAAAUCCCCGGGCUCAACCUGGGAAUUGCAUUGGAGACUGCAAGGCUAGAAUCUGGCAGAGGGGGGUAGAAUUCCACGUGUAGCAGUGAAAUGCGUAGAUAUGUGGAGGAACACCGAUGGCGAAGGCAGCCCCCUGGGUCAAGAUUGACGCUCAUGCACGAAAGCGUGGGGAGCAAACAGGAUUAGAUACCCUGGUAGUCCACGCCCUAAACGAUGUCUACUAGUUGUCGGGUCUUAAUUGACUUGGUAACGCGNGCGUACGCGNGAGUAGACCGCCGUGGGUAGGUUACGGUUCGUCGAGAAGUUAAACGUUACGAAGAGUAGUUAGGACGGNGAGAGAGCGACGGACGACGACGACGGAGGAGGAGG